GCUUUUACUUUUUACAUCGGGAUUCUGGUCAUUACUCACCAGAGAAAUGGCUAUAUUUUCCCUAUAAACAAAAAGAAUAUCCGACCUACCAGGUCUAGUCCUUGGUGGUUUAGUUUUUAUAGAAGAAACACCCGAUCACACACACCGACUCGAAGACUCGAACGCUGGUGCGCUGGGAGCACACGCGCUCCGCUAGCCACCCGAGCGACGAU
rnacentral:lncRNA from 1 species